GAGCUGACGUGUAGGAUGUGGGCCCAAUUUCUGGUAGCCGGUGUAUCGGUUUAAAUGCUUCUAUUGUAAUCCCACCCACAGCAUCACUGCAACUGGUUGCAGCACGGCACGCGAGCAGUAGAAAUGCACUAAAAUCCUUUCCGGUCCGUUAAGUUUUCCCUUCAACCGGUAAGGGCCGUCCCGAAACGCGGACUCUCGUCGUACCCGGACAACAAGGCACACGAGCACGCUUCCGUUCACGUUGAAAUCGAACGUUGAAAUGAAAGUGAAAAUUCACAUGCCCUGUCGCCCAAACGACAACCGUUGAGAUGGAGGCGCGCCAGAAGACGCAGGGCGCAAAAGCUUACUGGCAAAAGCACGACACCAAAAAAAAAAAAAAAAA